AGUGAACGCUGGCGGUAGGCCUAACACAUGCAAGUCGAACGGCAGCACAGUAAGAGCUUGCUCUUACGGGUGGCGAGUGGCGGACGGGUGAAGAAUACAUCGGAAUCUACUUUUUCGUGGGGGAUAACGUAGGGAAACUUACGCUAAUACCGCAUACGACCUACGGGUGAAAGCAGGGGAUCUUCGGACCUUGCGCGAUUGAAUGAGCCGAUGUCGGAUUAGCUAGUUGGCGGGGUAAAGGCCCACCAAGGCGACGAUCCGUAGCUGGUCUGAGAGGAUGAUCAGCCACACUGGAACUGAGACACGGUCCAGACUCCUACGGGAGGCAGCAGUGGGGAAUAUUGGACAAUGGGCGCAAGCCUGAUCCAGCCAUACCGCGUGGGUGAAGAAGGCCUUCGGGUUGUAAAGCCCUUUUGUUGGGAAAGAAAAGCAGCAGGUUAAUACCCCGCUGUUCUGACGGUACCCAAAGAAUAAGCACCGGCCAACUUCGUG
rnacentral:rRNA from 1 species